GACCCCAGCUCACCAAAACAGAUUCUUUUCAAGAAGAUGUAGGGAAAUGCUAAUCGUCCCCACGACUGCCAUCAUUAAACAUUUGCUGUGUGCACGGCAUGCAUUUGGGACAAUCUUGGACACAUCUUGUAGAGUCUGCGUUGUAAUACUCCCCCAGGGUAGCUACCAGGAAUGGAUCAAUGAAUCCUAUCCUGGACCCAGGGGAGAUCCCUGUUGGAGCAGUCUCUGGCAGGGCCCAGCUCCUGGCAGGUCCGCAUAAGAGCAGCCAUGAGGUGGAUGGUUUCCCUUCUCUACAUUGUACCCACCAUGAUGUGCUGCCUUCCCAUAGGCCAAAAUGAUGAAGCCAACCAAUCAUAGCUUGGAAUCUCCAAAACUGAACCAAAAUAAAUCUCUACAAGUUUGUUAUCUCAGGUAUUUUGUUAUAGUGACAGAAAGCUGACUAAUGCAGUAACACAGGCACAUUUCA